rnacentral:lncRNA from 1 species
CCAGAAACAAGCAAUAUUAAAAAAAAAUCAUUAAUUUGUGUAAAUAUGUUGUAGACUUGUAGACUUGUUGCGCUUGUAGUCACAUUUUGACAGUUCGGGCCGACGUUCUGACCACGAUUCUGACACUCAGGCCUGGGCCUGCUCAUGGAACGUCAUCGAACAUUGUUUGUUGUGGUUGUGUUCAAUCCAACCAAUGAAAAAUUCAGCAUGGAGGUUGAUCAACCUGUUGUUCAAGAUUCAAGAAAAUAAGCCACAAGCUGUUGCUUUCACUCCGUCAAUCCUGACAAAUGUGGUGUUUUGAAAAAAAUCAAGCAGACAGGAACUGGCAAUGUGCAGCACAGAAUAAGGGCAUCUUAGUCUACUACACAGGCUGUUUGACGAAACAUGGAACUUGAUUCCAGUUGGGACAGAGGGUAGAAAUUAAACUUCAACCGUGGCAAAGUGUAAGCCAUGGAACCUUACUGGUGUAUAGCUACCAUUGAAGCGUGGAGAGGUGGCAGCCAGCUUGUAAAUUUUAAAUCCAAUUAUGCCUGCAGUGAAAAUGGAAACCCACCUAAAAAUUUCUCUGAAAAGCCACAACAUUGCCGGUGUUUGAAGUUGGAAGUUAGAAGAUCUCACCAAAGCAAUUGGUAGAGGAAUUUUAAAUCAAACUUGAAAGUUGGAAGUCGUGAUGAAGAAUGCAAUUGUUGAAGGAGUUAAGCUUGCUCGGUGACGGUGUUGAACAUGCUCUGUUGAAAUUCAAGAAGCAAGAGACGAGGAGCUUGAUGAAAUUGACACCGGCUCUGCUGGUAACGAGCAACUCGGUGUUCCACCCAACGCCAACUUCGAAUGCGAGAUUGAACUCAAGAGCUUCGAAAAGGCUAAAGAGAGCUGGAAGAGGUUAAACUCUGCAAGGAAAAAGGAAUCAAUCAUUUUAAAAGGCCUAAUACGCGGCCAACAAACAGAGUACUCCAAAAUCGUCCCCUCCUCGAGUUUGAACAAACUCUUAAAGACGAGAAAGCUACAGAACGAGAACAGCUUAUGUUAGUAACACACUCAAUCAGUCCAUGUGCUGUUUAAAGUGAAGCGAUUUCUGUGCAAUUCGUGAUCAAUGCCAAAAGUCGCUAGAAAUGGACCCAAAAAUGAAAAAGGUUUAUUCCUCAUUGGCCAGCUUGUAGGCAAUUUGGGGCAUCCACAAGCUGGAGGAAACUAAGAAGCAUUUCGAGGCGAUUCUGGAUUCUCCAUGAUUCGGACAAUAAGGCGGGCGCCAAUCAAGUGCUGGUGAUCUGCAAAGCCAAGAUUUGCAAGCAACGCGAAACGGACAAGAAAUUGUGUACGCUAGUAUUUUCAACAAGAUGGACGUAAAUGAUUGACAGGUUAAACGAAAAGAAUGAAGGCAAAUGGCUUUACGGUUGGUGGGACGAGUCGACGAAAGGUGUCUAGCUAAACGCUGAUCUUGCUUAAAUCGAACGAGAUAAAUAAGAGCUGUGGAGUAUUUAAAGGUCAGGUCGAUCGUAGGAAAAUUAAUGCAGAUUUCUUCAAGCGCUACUGGCAGGAAACCCAAUAUCGUAUCAGUCAACGGGAAGCCGCUGAAUGUGAAUGAAAAUGACGGUAUGGAAAAUAGUGAAAUAGCUUCUUCUAAACUCUCUACCAAAUGGCGGAGUCUACAGAAGCAUCCAACGACAAUCAGAUGAUCUUCGUUAAAGGUUUUCGUGACUGCUUUUGCACCAUUUGAAUUUGAAUUUUGUAUCUUGACUUUUCAAAUAAAAAUUCUGAAUUUGG